rnacentral:lncRNA from 1 species
UUAACAGGGGACUUUGCUACUCUUACUUAAAUACGAAGACACGGACUGACGCCUUGACCUUUCUUUCAAUCGAAGGAGGGCUAUUUAAAAAGAGAAAGAAAAAGGGUUUACAGAGCGGACUACCAGGAUGAGAAAGAGUAUGUGAAGGCGGUAAGACAUUAUUAUUUGAAAGUUCCCUUCUGGUAUUCUAUCUAAAUCUCUUUGAGAAUCUAUGAAUGGAAAUAAUUUCUUAGAAAUUCAUGUGAUUAAGAAUGGAAAUCUUCUACAAAAAAAAAAUAGAAUAUCCACUUAAAUGUGGGUAUAACUCGUCGCCACUCUAGUUGUCCUUCUUGCUGCUUACUUUCUUACAUAAGACGGAAAGAAGAUAUUAUUAUAUGAAGACUGGAGCCUAGCUCUCUUUUAUAUCCGUUUGAAGCUACUGAUUAUGGCUAAAAUGACUAGCCGAGCCGGCCUUCUCCGCCCAUCAACUCCUCCUGCUCUCUCUAAUCAACUAGGUUCGGUAAGAACUAUGCUCAGGUAGCAGUGCGCUAGAAAGAAAUGAUCGAAUCAAUUGAUUUGGUUUAUAAGACGAGCUGUGGGAUAGGUACCCGGGCCUAUUUCGGGCCUAUUAAGGGAUGUAAUAGUAGAGAAAUUGAAUAAAGCUGAGUGCUGGUAGGAGAAAUGGGACGGCAGUGAAAAAUCUCACAAAGAAAGAAGGGUACUAAACUACUCUUUGUCAGUAAGGAAGUUGGCCUCUGAGAGCCAGCCUAACAUAGGUAUGUAAAUUGGGAUCUUUGCUCUUGGGAGAAUAUAAAGCUAGCACUCUCAAAUCUCAGAUUAGUGUGCACGGAGAUAAAAAAAAAGAGAGAGAGUCAUAGUGGGGAAAGUAAGCGCUAUCAGGAGCCUGAAAGCCAUCCUGAAGUGGGGCUGAGGAAGAUCUCCUCCACCUACUUUUGAUGGGUAAAUUGUUCAAUCUUUCCUUAAUCGGGCUAGUAGUCAAGUCACUAACUUUGAAGUAGUUCAUUUACUUUCACAAUGGAAGGCUUCUAAUUGGCUAAGGUCUUGGUGACCUUAGUAGCGGAGUAAGACUCGAAAGUGCUAUCACUACCAGUUGUGGAUGUGCUGA